rnacentral:rRNA from 1 species
AUUGAACGCUGGCGGCAGGCCUAACACAUGCAAGUCGAACGAGUGUCGGACUGGUGAGUAAUGCUUGGGAAUCUAGCUUAUGGACGGGGAUAACUACGGGAACCUGUAGCUAAUACCGCGUACCAUAGGAUGAGCUCAUGUGGGAUUAGGUAGUUGGUGAGGUAAAGGCUCACCAAGCCGACGAUCUCUAGCUGGUCUGAGAGGGUGACCAGCCGCACUGGUACUGAGACACGGCCCAGACUCCUGCGGGAGGCAGGAGUGGGGAUUAGUGCGCAAUGGGGGCAACCUGACGCAGCCAUGCCGCGUGAAUGAAGAAGGCCUUCGGGUUGUAAAGUUCUUUCGGUAGCGAGGCGUUGACUACAGAAGAAGCACCGGCUAACUCCGUGCCAGCAGCCGCGGUAAUUC